rnacentral:rRNA from 1 species
ACGAACGCUGGCGGCGUGCUUCACACAUGCCAGUCGCACGGAAAGGCCCUGCUUUUGUGGGGUGCUCGCGUGGCGAACGGGUGAGUAACACGUGAGUAACCUGCCCUUGACUUUGGGAUAACUUCAGGAAACUGGGGCUAAUACCGGAUAGGAGCUCCUGCUGCAUGGUGGGGGUUGGAAAGUUUCGGCGGUUGGGGAUGGACUCGCGGCUUAUCAGCUUGUUGGUGGGGUAGUGGCUUACCAAGGCUUUGACGGGUAGCCGGCCUGAGAGGGUGACCGGCCACAUUGGGACUGAGAUACGGCCCAGACUCCUACGGGAGGCAGCAGUGGGGAAUAUUGCACAAUGGGCGGAAGCCUGAUGCAGCAACGCCGCGUGCGGGAUGACGGCCUUCGGGUUGUAAACCGCUUUCGCCUGUGACGAAGCGUGAGUGACGGUAAUGUGUAAAGAAGCACCGGCUAACUACGUG